GUGUUUGUUGUGUAACGUUUAGCAUGGAUUCCUUCGAAGCAUUCGACAGAGGUUCCAUUCCCCACAAACGCA
rnacentral:tRNA from 1 species